UUACUUAGUGUAAAUACUUAAUAAAUAUUUAUGAAUGUUCGUAGAGGUUUAUUCCGAACCUUAGUACUUGUUCUGAAGUACUGAUAUAUUAUAUUAUUAAAUAUAUGAGUAUAAAUCAUGUGAAGCCUUAUUGUAUACUCACUCUCCCGAAAGUUCCCGCAUUACCGUGAAUUGUUCAUGCGAUACGGAACAAGGUCACGAAGACACGAUGAUGGGGUCGCACCCUAGAGGCCGUAUAACUGCAUGCAGCAUUAGAUGUUCGAUCUUGGAAUAUCUAAUGGAGAUGAUGGUUAUAUU
rnacentral:lncRNA from 1 species